AGUUUAGUUUGUUUGCAAACUAGGAAAUGAAAUGCCCAGAUUGACAAUGAGGGGCAUAUGCAGAUCCACAGGAACAAAGGCUGACGACGGACAGGAGUCAAGUUUCUGCUCCGGCUCAUCAUUUCAGCUCCACGGAGCCCAGAGGACACUGAGCACAAGGUAGAUGUGACAAAAACA
rnacentral:lncRNA from 1 species